rnacentral:rRNA from 1 species
UACAGAGGUCUCAAGCGUUGUUCGGAUUCAUUGGGCGUAAAGCGCGUGUAGGCGGUCUUGCAAGUCGGGUGUGAAAGCCCUCAGCUCAACUGAGGAAGUGCGCCCGAAACUGCAGGGCUUGAGUACCGGAGAGGAUGGCGGAAUUCCCCAAGUAGAGGUGAAAUUCGUAGAUAUGGGGAGGAACACCGGUGGCGAAGGCGGCCAUCUGGACGGAUACUGACGCUGAGACGCGAAAGCGGUGGGUAGCAAACGAGG